rnacentral:rRNA from 1 species
UACGGAGGGCGCAAGCGUUAUCCGGAAUCACUGGGUUUAAAGGGUGCGUAGGCGGCUUGGUAAGUCAGAGGUGAAAGCCCGCAGCUUAACUGCGGAACUGCCUUUGAUACUGCCGAGCUUGAAAGAGGUUGAGGUCAGCGGAACGUGACAUGUAGCGGUGAAAUGCAUAGAGAUGUCACAGAACACCAAUUGCGAAGGCAGCUGGCUGGGCCUACGUUGACGAUGAGGCACGAAAGAGUGGGGAGCGAACAGG